rnacentral:rRNA from 1 species
CACGGUAAACGAUGGAUGCCCGCUGUUUGCGAUAUACUGUGAGCGGCCAAGAGAAAUCGUUAAGCAUCCCACCUGGGGAGUACGCCGGCAACGGUGAAACUCAAAGGAAUUGACGGGGGCCCGCACAAGCGGAGGAACAUGUGGUUUAAUUCGAUGAUACGCGAGGAACCUUACCCGGGCUUGAAUUGCAGAUGACGGAUCUAGAGAUAGUGACUUCCUUCGGGACAUCUGUGAAGGUGCUGCAUGGUUGUCGUCAGCUCGUGCCGUGAGGUGUCGGCUUAAGUGCCAUAACGAGCGCAACCCUUCUCUUCAGUUGCCAUCAGGUUAAGCUGGGCACUCUGGAGACACUGCCACCGUAAGGUGUGAGGAAGGUGGGGAUGACGUCAAAUCAGCACGGCCCUUACGUCCGGGGCUACACACGUGUUACAAUGGCCGGUACAGAAAGUCGGAUGCCCGUAAGGUCAUUCUAAUCAAGAAAGCCGGUCCCAGUUCGGACUGAGGUCUGCAACCCGACC